rnacentral:tRNA from 1 species
GGAGAGGUCGCAUAGUGGUCUAGUGCACCGCCUUGGAAAGGCGGCAUGCCUGAAAGGGCAUCGCGAGUUCGAAUCUCGCCCUCUCCGCAA